CCUCAGUAGUCAACUCCGCCUGCCCCACGGCACCCACCGCCAGACCUACACCUGCAGCGUCACCCAUCCCCCCACCGGCACCAGCCUCACCAAGGAGGUCGAAGUGUGUGACGCCUCAGCCACGCCCAUCUCACCGGAGGUCCAGGUCCUCCACACCACCUCCUGCACCCCCAGCACGGCCAAGGAAUCGGUGGAGCUCCUCUGCCUCGUUUCCGGCUUCUCCCCGGCCACCGUGGAAGUGGAAUGGUUGGUGGACGGUGAGGCGGGUCUUCUGACGGCCAAUCAGAUGUCACCACGACGGGAGGAAGGUGCCACCACCUACUCGGUCACCAGCCGUACCAACGUCAGCCGCGUGGAGUGGUUGGAGGGGAAGACCUUCACCUGCCGGGUCAAACAUCCCGCCUCCGGCGCCGUCGUGCAGGACCACACCCGCUUCUGCUCAGGCCUGGUCAACCGCAACGUCAACAACAUCAUCCUCUACGUCCUCCCACCCAACGUGGCCGACCUCUACAUCACCCGCAAACCCAAGGUCCGCUGUUUGGCCACCAACCUUCCCAGCGAUUCCGGGUUCCAACUCUUCUGGUUGAAGGAGACCCCAGGUGUCCUCAACCCGGACUUCUUGGAGCUUCAAGAACAAUUCAACGGGACCUUCACGGCCACCAGUUCCUUGGUCAUCUCCACCCAAGACUGGGAAGCUGGAGAACGUUUCACCUGUAUGGUGAAACACGAUGAUCUCCAGUUGCCCCUCAACAAGAGCAUCUCCAGACGGUUAGGCAAGGUUUCUCCACCUCUCAUCUUCAUCCUCCCACCCCACCCCGAGGAGAUGACCCAAACGAAGGUCACCCUCACCUGUUUGGUUUACGGUUUCCAACCCGAGAACCUCCAAGUCCAAUGGUUGAAGAACCACGAGAACGUUCCUCAAGAGGACUACGUCACCACCCCACCCCUCAAAGAUGGUCCUAAGGAGACCACCUUCUUCGUCUACAGCAAGAUGAUGGUCCUCAAGACCAGCUGGUUGAGCGGGGACAUCUACAGCUGCAUGGUGGUUCAUGAAGGGUUGCCCAUGAAGUUCACCCAACGUCAAGCACAGAAGGGACCCG